rnacentral:tRNA from 1 species
GCCUGGGUGGCUCAGUCGGUUAAGCAUCCGACUUCGGCUCAGGUCAUGAUCUCACAGUUCGUGGGUUCGAGCCCCGCGUCGGGCU